UUGGUCAAUGGAGGCAACUCUGAACCAGCCAUGCCGCGUGCAGGAAGACUGCCCUAUGGGUUGUAAACUGCUUUUAUCCGGGAAUAAACCACAUUACGUGUAGUGUGCUGAAUGUACCGGAAGAAUAAGGAUCGGCUAACUCCGUGCCAGCAGCCGCGGUAAUACGGAGGAUCCAAGCGUUAUCCGGAUUUAUUGGGUUUAAAGGGUGCGUAGGCGGCCUGUUAAGUCAGGGGUGAAAGACGGUAGCUCAACUAUCGCAGUGCCCUUGAUACUGAUGGGCUUGAAUGGACUAGAGGUAGGCGGAAUGAGACAAGUAGCGGUGAAAUGCAUAGAUAUGUCUCAGAACACCGAUUGCGAAGGCAGCUUACUAUGGUCUUAUUGACGCUGAGGCACGAAAGCGUGGGGAUCAAACAGGAUUAGAUACCCUGGUAGUCCACGCCCUAAACGAUGAACACUCGCUGUUGGCGAUACACAGUCAGCGGCUAAGCGAAAGCGUUAAGUGUUCCACCUGGGGAGUACGCCCGCAAGGGUGAAACUCAAAGGAAUUGACGGGGGCCCGCACAAGCGGAGGAGCAUGUGGUUUAAUUCGAUGAUACGCGAGGAACCUUACCCGGGCUUGAAAGUUAGUGAAUGAUCUAGAGAUAGAUCAGUCCGCAAGGACACGAAACUAGGUGCUGCAUGGCUGUCGUCAGCUCGUGCCGUGAGGUGUUGGGUUAAGUCCCGCAACGAGCGCAACCCCUAUGUUUAGUUGCCAGCACGUAAUGGUGGGGACUCUAAACAGACUGCCUGUGCAAACAUUGAGGAAGGAGGGGACGACGUCAAGUCAUCAUGGCCCUUACGUCCGGGGCUACACACGUGCUACAAUGGAUGGUACAGAGGGCAGCUACAUAGCAAUAUGAUGCGAAUCUCACAAAGCCAUUCACAGUUCGGAUUGGGGUCUGCAACUCGACCCCAUGAAGUUGGAUUCGCUAGUAAUCGCGUAUCAGCAAUGACGCGGUGAAUACGUUCCCGGGCCUUGUACACACCGCCCGUCAAGCCAUGGAAGCUGGGGGUACC
rnacentral:rRNA from 1 species